rnacentral:rRNA from 1 species
GAUGACGCUGGCGGCAGGCCUAACACAUGCAAGUCGAGCGAGAGGCGGACGGGUGAGUAAUGUAUGGGGAUCUGCCCGAGAGAGGGGGAUAACUACUGGAAACGGGGGCUAAUAACGCAUACUAUAGGAUGAACCAAUAUGGGAUUAGCUAGUGGGUGGGGUAAAGGCUAACCUAGGCGAGGAUCUCUAGCUGGUGUGAGAGGAUGAUCAGCCACACUGGGACUGAGACACGGUCCAGACUCCUACGGGAGGCAGCAGUGGGGAAUAUUGCACAAUGGGCGCAAGCCUGAUUCAGCCAUGCCGCGUGUAUGAAGAAGGCCUUCGGGUUGUAAAGUACUUUCAGCGGGGAGGCGUUACCCGCAGAAGAAGCACCGGCUAACUCCGUGCCAGCAGCCGCGGUAAUUC